rnacentral:lncRNA from 1 species
AAAGUUUGUUCCAUAAAGUAUUUUUGCUUGACUUCAAUGACUGAUCCAUGUGUGGGAUAUGCUAGCCUCUCGGCGUGUGGUAGUAACUGCCCUUCUGUCUGUUCUAGCUGGAUGGACAGGACGGAUAAGACAGACUAUGGCUUACUUCUUCACCUGCGGGAAAGUCGCACAGGAGAUCAUCCUAUUCCCAGGGAGACCUCAUGUCUGAAAACAGCUCCGACAGGUUUACAAACAUGGGCCAGACCACAACAUGUGUCCUGGGCAGUAGUCCCAAGGCUGCCUUUGUUAAGGCUGACCAGGGACCUUUACCCUUGGGGCCAUGUGUUACCAUACAAAGGAGCUCCACGUGUGUGCUCUGUCCACCCAUCACUGCUGAAGCUUGCAGUACAGUGCUGCUUUCUGACAGAGGCCUUAGUUACCAAGAGGGCAGGGCAGCAUGCCCAUCGCUAGACAGCUGAUACGCUAGGCUAAUCUAGCAUGUUGGUCGGUAAAGUGGCAUCUUUAACUGAAAAAUCAUUUUUCGCAUGAAAUAAAUUUAGUAU